AGAGUUUGAUCCUGGCUCAGGAUGAACGCUAGCGACAGGCUUAACACAUGCAAGUCGAGGGGCAGCGGUGGUGAAGGCUUGCCUUUACCAGCCGGCGACCGGCGCACGGGUGAGUAACACGUAUGCAACCUGCCUACCACAGCCGGAUAAUCGGGAGAAAUCCCGUCUAAUACGGCAUAAUGCACCUAUGGGACAUCCUGUUGGUGCCAAAGGUUAAUUCCGGUGGCGGAUGGGCAUGCGGCGCAUUAGGAAGACGGCGGUGUGACGGACCACCGUUCCGACGAUGCGUAGGGGUUCUGAGAGGAAGGCCCCCCACACUGGUACUGAGACACGGACCAGACUCCUACGGGAGGCAACAGUGAGGAAUAUUGGUCAAUGGCCGGAAGGCUGAACCAGCCAAGCCGCGUGAGGGAGGAAGGCGCAGAGCGUCGCAGACCUCUUUUGCCGGGGGACAAAAGGCCGGACUCGUCCGGUCCUGAGGGUACCCGGAGAAAAAGCAUCGGCUAACUCCGUGCCAGCAGCCGCGGUAAUACGGAGGAUGCGAGCGUUAUCCGGAUUCAUUGGGUUUAAAGGGUGCGCAGGCGGGCCUUUAAGCCGGCGGUGAAAUCGCGGGGCUCAACCCCGCCGAGCCGUCGGAACUGGGGGCCUUGAGUGCGGCGGAGGCAUGCGGAAUGCGCGGUGUAGCGGUGAAAUGCAUAGAUAUCGCGCAGAACCCCGAUUGCGAAGGCAGCGUGCCGUGCCGCCACUGACGCUGAGGCACGAAAGCGCGGGGAUCGAACAGGAUUAGAUACCCUGGUAGUCCGCGCCGUAAACGAUGGAUGCUGGGUGUCCGGGGCGUUCAGGCCCUGGGUGCCGGAGCGAAAGCGGUAAGCAUCCCACCUGGGGAGUACGCCGGCAACGGUGAAACUCAAAGGAAUUGACGGGGGCCCGCACAAGCGGAGGAACAUGUGGUUUAAUUCGAUGAUACGCGAGGAACCUUACCCGGGCUCAAACGGGGGGCGCGGGCGGCAGAGACGCCGCCGUCCUUAUGGACGUCCCCCGAGGUGCUGCAUGGUUGUCGUCAGCUCGUGCCGUGAGGUGUCGGAUUAAGUUCCAUAACGAGCGCAACCCCCGCGCGCAGUUGCUAACGGGUCAGGCCGAGGACUCUGCGCGGACUGCCGGCGCAAGCCGCGAGGAAGGCGGGGACGACGUCAAAUCAGCACGGCCCUUACGUCCGGGGCGACACACGUGUUACAAUGGGGGGUACAGCGGGAAGCCAGGCGGCGACGCCGAGCGGAACCCGAAAGCCCCUCCCAGUUCGGAUCGGAGCCUGCAACCCGGCUCCGUGAAGCUGGAUUCGCUAGUAAUCGCGCAUCAGCCAUGGCGCGGUGAAUAAGUUCCCGGGCCUUGCACUCACCGCCCG
rnacentral:rRNA from 1 species